rnacentral:pre_miRNA from 14 species
CCUCAGAGAUGAUGGUGGUUGCCAAUCCCAGACUACCCCCAGAUGAAAGACCCCCGGGAAUUGGGAGACCCUCACUCAAGUCUUGGGAUGACAUGACCCCCCAAGAACUCAUGUAAGACC